rnacentral:rRNA from 1 species
GACGAACCGUGCGAACGUUGUUCGGAAUCACUGGGCUUAAAGGGCGCGUAGGCGGGCAAGCAAGUCCGGGGUGAAAGCCCCCAGCUCAACUGGGGAAGUGCCUUGGAAACUGCUGGUCUCGAGGGAGGUAGGGGCCUGUGGAACUUCGGGUGGAGCGGUGAAAUGCGUUGAUAUCUACAGGAACUCCGGUGGCGAAAGCGGCGUGCUGGACCUUUUCUGACGCUGAGGCGCGAAAGCUAGGGGAGCAAACGGG